rnacentral:rRNA from 1 species
CUGCAGCUCAAGUGGUGACCGCUAUAUUGGGCCUAAAACGUUCGUAGCCGGUUUAGUAAAUGCCUGGGUAAAUCGAGCCGCUUAACGGUUCGACUUCCGGGUAGACUGCUAAACUUGAGACCGGGAGAGGCUAGAGGUACUCCUGGGGUAGAGGUGAAAUUCUGUAAUCCUGGGGGGACCACCAGUGGCGAAGGCGUCUAGCUAGAACGGGUCUGACGGUGAGGGACGAAGCCCUGGGGCGCAAACCGGAUUAGAUACCCGAGUAGUCC